rnacentral:rRNA from 1 species
CGGCUAGAAGGAACGCUGGCGGCGUGCCUAACACAUGCAAGUCGAACGGUAACAGGUCUUCGGAUGCUGACGAGUGGCGCACGGGUGAGUAACGCGUGGAUAUCUGCCUAUGAGUGGGGGACAACUUUCGGAAACGAAAGCUAAUACCGCAUAAUCUCUACGGAGCAAAGCAGGGGACCUUUCGGGGCCUUGUGCUUAUAGAUGAGUCCGCGUCAGAUUAGCUAGUUGGUGGGGUAAGAGCCUACCAAGGCGAUGAUCUGUAGCUGGUUUGAGAGGAUGAUCAGUCACACUGGAACUGAGACACGGUCCAGACUCCUACGGGAGGCAGCAGUGGGGAAUUUUGCACAAUGGGCGCAAGCCUGAUGCAGCGAUGCCGCGUGUGGGAAGAAGGCCUUUGGGUUGUAAACCACUUUCAAUUGGGAAGAAGGGAUGAGWAUUAAUAAUACUCUGACUUGACGGUACCUUUAGAAGAAGCACCGGCUAAUUUCGUGCCAGCAGCCGCGGUAAUACGAAAGGUGCAAGCGUUGUUCGGAUUUACUGGGCGUAAAGAGAUCGUAGGUGGUUUGUUAAGGUUAGAAUGUGAAAAUCCCGGGGGCUCAACCUCGGAACUGCAUCYAAAACUGGCAGACUUGAGUUCGGGAGGGGUAAGCGGAAAUUCCGUGUGUAGCAGUGAAAUGCGUAGAUAUACGGAGGAACACCUGAGGCGAAGGCGGCUUACUGGACCGAUACUGACACUGAGGAUCGAAAGCGUGGGUAGCAAACAGGAUUAGAUACCCUGGUAGUCCACGCCCUAAACGAUGUCAACUAGCCGUUGCGGGUAUCGACCCCUGCAGUGGCGCAGCUAACGCGAUAAGUUGACCGCCUGGGGAGUACGGUCGCAAGAUGACA